UUUCGAUCAUAUCCGGAGUUGGAUUACUCAUGAAUUGUCGGCUCAUAAUUUUUGGGUGCCCACCCCUUUUCUCCAACCCAAUUUCUCAGCCAUGGUACUAAUUUUAUUUUCUUCCUCCUCUUCUUUUUCUCCAGUUCUCCCAAUUUUUAUGCAUUGGUAUUGAUUCGAUUUUAUUUUAGAAGCAACGCUUGAUCAAGCAACCACAACUCUCGGUUACCAGGUAUGCAAUCAAUCCUAAUCCUACCCCUACUUCGUCUAAUUUGGUAUCUUGCACAUCUCUCUAUCUGUGGGCUACUCGGUGUUGAUUGGGGUGAUUUUUUCUCAUGUUUCCUUAAAUUUCUUGGGGCGAUGGAUUUAUUUUAUGUUUUAUCUUUGAGGUUUCAUAUCUUGCUGGUGGUUAAUUGUUGAUGGAACUCCCCGUUGGAGUACAUAGAAGCUCUUGAGGUGGUGGUCAUUCUUUUAUGCAACCCCUGCUAUUUUAGCCUCAUGAUUGUGAUUGCUAAUUAACAUUUUCUUAACAGGAUUUAAGUAUUAUAAAUUGUUAUAACCAAAACAAUGUUUUGCCAUUGCAGUUUAUCUAAUGGAACCUCA
rnacentral:lncRNA from 1 species